CAUCAUUUCCGGUGUAACACCCACAUGUGCCAACACGCACGCUGGCCUAAUUCCUCCCCCUUGUGUCGUGGUUCCUCCCCUUGACGUAAAAGGUCCCUUAGGCCACUUUAAUCUAGCGUCUACCGUGCCAGUAAUGGCGCCGCGCAACACAGCUUCACCUCUCACGGGAGACAUGCCCAGUGCCAGAACUUUAAGGUCACUUCCGCCCCUGGCUGGUAUUUAAGCGGCCCCGCAUCGGUUGGGCGGUCUCUCUUACCUCGUGGCUGUAGCGUCCUGAAAGAAUUGGCCUCCUGAAACUGUCCUGGCUAAGCUUGGAAGAAUGCCUUGGUUUUGUAUGGAUAUCCAUGAUUCUGAUCUGCAGGUUUUUGGACCAAGCCCUGGCUGCAAACUGAAGGGACCUAUUGCUAAGAUGUGAUUCCUGAAAGGAUGUCUCCCACUGUUGUCCGGGCUGGUUCUUGGAAUACUGGCUUCAUACAGACAUGCAUGGCACGACUCGUCUGCAGGACAGGUUUUUGGACAGUCCUGGCUGCACACUGGAAGAAUUUACUGUGGGAUUAUGAUGUUCUAAUGUGAUGACUGGCUUCCUACAAAAGAGGUCUGCACUGCUUCAUGGUGACAUCCCAUCACCAUUUCAGGAUGUGCAGAACAUGUGAUCCGUCACAUCAUUCCAUGUGUCUUUGAAACAGUGCCUUGGCCUCAAGCAGCCCUUCAGAGGACAGGAGCCCCAGGCUUAUCAGCCCCAUAAAGCUGCAUGCAAAACCACAAGUCUGCGUAUCAGUGCUGCCUGGUGGGCCUGCACCCUUUCAAAAUGCAACCUGUCCACUCACAGUACAUUGGCAAGCAAAGAUGGAAGAUCAGAUGACUGGGAAUCAUUACCUGGAUGGAUCAGGAGCUGCAAUGCAUGGAUAUGCUAGAAAGAUGUGAUGUUACAUUUCUCCUUCAUCCACUAGGGGCCAAGAACUACAAUAAAAGUCUUCAGAAAACUAA